rnacentral:rRNA from 1 species
CCUACGGGAGGCAGCAGUGGGGAAUAUUGCACAAUGGGGGAAACCCUGAUGCAGCGACGCCGCGUGAAGGAAGAAGUAUUUCGGUAUGUAAACUUCUAUCAGCAGGGAAGAAAAUGACGGUACCUGACUAAGAAGCCCCGGCUAACUACGUGCCAGCAGCCGCGGUAAUACGUAGGGGGCAAGCGUUAUCCGGAUUUACUGGGUGUAAAGGGAGCGUAGGCGGUGCAGCAAGUCAGAAGUGAAAGCCCGGGGCGCAACGCCGGGACUGCUUUUGAAACUGUUGAACUAGAGUGCAGGAGAGGUAGGCGGAAUUCCUGGUGUAGCGGUGAAAUGCGUAGAUAUUAGGAGGAACACCAGUGGCGAAGGCGGCUUACUGGACUGUAAAUGACGCUGAGGCUCGAAAGCGUGGGGAGCAAACAGGAUUAGAUACCCCAGUAGUC